rfam:Branchiostoma floridae genomic scaffold BRAFLscaffold_232, whole genome shotgun sequence.
AGAAGUGAUGAUGUUUGACCAUCUUUCGGGGCUGACAGUGAUGCUGACAACAUAACCCUUACUGAACUUCU